rnacentral:rRNA from 1 species
GAUGAACGCUAGCGGCAGGCUUAAUACAUGCAAGUCGAACGGUAAGUGUAGUAGCAAUAUUAUACGAGAGUGACGUACGGGUGCGUAACACGUAUGCAACCUACCUUGUACAGGAGGAUAGCUCGGGGAAACUCGAAUUAACCCUCCAUGAGAUCACAGUGUGGCAUCACAUAGUGAUUAAAACUCAGGUGGUACAAGAUGGGCAUGCGUCUGANAGUUAGUUGGCGGGGUAACGGCCCACCAAGACGAUGAUCAGUAGGGGACCUGAGAGGGUGA